UUGUGGAGGAGGACGCCGAAGGUGGGGCUAAUGACUGGGGUGAAGUCGUAACAAGGUAGCCGUACCGGAAGGUGCGGCUGGAUCACCUCCUAACAGGGAGACAACAAAAUGUAAAUAUUAAUUUUGUCACCUUAGGUCGAUCGGUAUCUCAGAUUCUUACAUUAUUAAGAAUUUCAGUUUCUAAGUUUUUCUAGGUCACACCCAUUACUUUUCCCUGGGCCAUUAGCUCAGGUGGUUAGAGCGCACCCCUGAUAAGGGUGAGGUCCCUGGUUCAAGUCCAGGAUGGCCCAUAUCUCUAUGUUGGGGGUAUAGCUCAGUUGGUAGAGCGCCUGCUUUGCAAGCAGGAUGUCAGCGGUUCGAGUCCGCUUACCUCCACUGAAUACCACCUUUUACAUAUUGUUAAUUGGGAAAUUGUUUUGAGUCGUGUACUAAUUGCUCUGAGCGAAUCUAGCUUCCUAUUUUAUCCAAUAAAUAAGAUGCUGGACUCAUUGAAUUUUUAUUCAUUGUUUUCAGAGAACCUUGACAACUGCAUAGAUUAUUUUUGAAGACAAUAAGCAUCUUUAUGAUGCAGAUUUAUUAUUUGUGCGAAUGCAUUAAAUAACAAUUCUAUUAAGCUGAUGCUUCAAUUAUUGAAGUUAUUGGUCAAGCUACAA
rnacentral:misc_RNA from 1 species